GGACUACAGGGGUAUCUAAUCCUGUUUGCUCCCCACGCUUUCGCACCUCAGCGUCAACAACGGUCCAGUGAGCCGCCUUCGCCACUGGUGUUCUUCCGAAUAUCUACGAAUUUCACCUCUACACUCGGAAUUCCACUCACCUCUCCCGUGUUCAAGCGAUGCAGUCUUAAAGGCUAUUCCGGGGUUGAGCCCCGGGCUUUCACCUCUAACUUACAAAGCCGCCUACGUGCGCUUUACGCCCAGUAAUUCCGAACAACGCUAGCCCCCUCCGUAUUACCGCGGCUGCUGGCAC
rnacentral:rRNA from 1 species